rnacentral:rRNA from 1 species
GGACUACCGGGGUAUCUAAUCCCGUUCGCUCCCCUGGCUUUCGCGCCUCAGCGUCAGUAGAGAUCCAGUGCGUCGCUUUCGCCACCGGCGUUCCUUCUGAUAUCUACGCAUUUCACCGCUCCACCAGAAGUUCCACGCACCCCUACCUCCCUCUAGUUCGCCAGUAUCAGAGGCUGUUUUCCGGUUAAGCCGAAAGAUUUCACCCCUGACUUGGCAAGCCGCCUACGCGCCCUUUAAGCCCAGUGAUUCCGAACAACGUUCGCACGGUUCGUCUUACCGCGGCUGCUGGCAC